rnacentral:lncRNA from 1 species
GCGCUUGUACACUUGUCGGCGUUUAAUUUCAGGUGCCAUUUCGUGAAGUAGUUGCAUAGUAAGUUCAGGUACCCGUUUAGUUCGUUUUCUGCGGUCUGCAUUGAGCCUGACGAAGCCAAUAGCAGGAUAUCAUCAGCAUAUAUUAGUGCUUUGAUUUUUGUGGUAGAUCCGGUAGGGGUUUGGUAGUCGGGCAUGUCGGCCAGGUAGAUGUUGUAUAAGGUGGGCGCCAGCAGUGAUCCUUGUGGAACGCCUGCUGGGACCGAUCUUAUUAGGGACAGCUCAGCGUCCUGUGGGCUGCAUACUUGGAACGAGCGGUUUGUCAAGUAAUUUAGGACUAUUUUUGUGACAUCUCUGUUGAAAUUGAGUUGGCUCAUUUUGUGUAUGAGCCCAUUGGUCCAGACUGUAUCGAAUGCUUUUUCGAAAUCCGGUGCACAUGCUAUUGUGGCACGUUUGUGGGCUAGGUUCUCAAAGACGAAAUCAUUUAAUGCAAUGAAUGCAUGGUUGGUCGAUGACUUCGCCCUAAAUCCAUACUGAGAAUCCUUCAGCGUGUCAUUAAUGACCAUGUGCUUCUGUAUUUGUUCCAUUAUAACUUUUUCCAGCAGCAGACUUAUUGCAGAUAGAAGGGCAAUUGGUCUGUAUGCCCGGAGGCUUUGUGGACUUGUUCCUGGUUUUUGGAUAGCCAUGAUUCUGCUGUUCUUCCACUCGGAUGGAAAAUAUCCCAAGUUGAGGCAGUGGUUGAACAGCGUUGCCAGGUGUUUCAGGAUGGGCAUGUUGCAGUGCUUCAUCAGGAAGUUGCUUGUGCCGUCCGGUCCCAUGGUUUUCUUCGAGUUUUUUGUUUUUAGCAUUUCGAAGAGGUCUUCGGCGUUUGUGAAUCCAUGCUCGGAGGACUCGGGCCAGUUACCGUCUGCUGUUUUGUAAGUAUUAAAUGUAGUUUUGUACGUAUUUAGUGUUGUGGAUACGUUUUGGGCUAUGCUUUCGUUAACAUAGGUUGAGUGUGCCCUAAGAACAGGGUCUGAGUCAGUGAUGUUAGCGUUCUGGCUAUGGACUCUUUCAAAGGACCACGCGAGAGCAUUGAUUUUGUCGAAGGUGGAGCUAAUGGUUGGAGAUGUGCUGUAGUCCAGGUCGAUAAGAGCUGCUUCUUCAUUCGUCAGUUGAAUAUCGUGCGCAAGUUGUUCUUUUGGCGGCGUGUUAGGAUUAAGGGCUUGGAGUGUUUUGUGGCUGAUUUUGCUUGGGUUUACUUUGCGCAGUUUUUGGUCUAUUGAUUUCAGUUCUGCAAACUCUACAUGGCAGGUAAUCUGUAUGUCCAAGUCUUUUAUUAAGUUUU